rnacentral:rRNA from 1 species
GUAUCCCUACGGGACGCAGCAGUGGGGAAUAUUGGGCAAUGGGCGCAAGCCUGACCCAGCAACGCCGCGUGAAGGAAGAAGGCCUUCGGGUUGUAAACUUCUUUUGUCAGGGACGAAGAAAGUGACGGUACCUGACGAAUAAGCCACGGCUAACUACGUGCCAGCAGCCGCGGUAAUACGUAGGUGGCAAGCGUUAUCCGGAUUUACUGGGUGUAAAGGGCGUGUAGGCGGGAGAGCAAGGCAGACGUGAAAUUACAG